rnacentral:rRNA from 1 species
AUUGAACGCUGGCGGCAGGCCUAACACAUGCAAGUCGAACGAGUGGCGGACGGGUGAGUAAUGUCUGGGAAACUGCCUGAUGGAGGGGGAUAACUACUGGAAACGGUAGCUAAUACCGCAUACAUGCAGAUGACACCGGAUGGGAUUAGCUAGUGGGUGGGGUAAAGGCUCACAAAGGCGACGAUCCCUAGCUGGUCGGAGAGGAUGACCAGCCACACUGGAACUGAGACACGGUCCAGACUCCUACGGGAGGCAGCAGUGGGGAAUAUUGCACAAUGGGCGCAAGCCUGAUGCAGCCAUGCCGCGUGUAUGAAGAAGGCCUUCGGGUUGUAAAGUACGUUCAGCGGGGAGGCGUUACCCGCAGAAGAAGCACCGGCUAACUCCGUGCCAGCCGCCGCGGUAAUUC